AGAAAACGCGCAGUAGACGGGCGCGGUGGCUCACGCCUGUAAUUCCAGCACUUUGGGAGGCCGAGGCUUGCGGAUCACCUGAGGUCAGGAGGUCGAGACCAGCUUGGCCAACAUGGUGAAACCUCGUCUCUACCAAAAAUACAAAAAUUAGCCUGGCGUGGUGGCGCCGCCUGUAAUCCCAGGUACUCGGGAGGCUGAGGCAGGAGAAUCGCUUGAACCCGGGAAGCCGAGGUUGCAGUGAGCCACUGCACUGCAGCCUGGGAGACUGCGUCUCAAAAGAAAAACAGGAAGAAAGAAAAGAAAAAAGAAAAGGCUCAGUGAGGGUCUGAGGUAACCGGGUCUCCACCUGACAGGGCUUCAGCGGCUGCAGUUCAUCAUUGUAUCCCCAGCACCUCAGUCCCAACCAUUUUCAGACCAUUGGCCCAGAGGCGUUUGUAAUUAAAGGGUUGUCUGAAAAUACAAAGCCGAGCUGUGUGAGACUCGCUGAUUGUCUUACGGUCAGUUUGCAUCUGUAUCUUCAGGCGGGUCUUUAAUCUCUUACGCUUGGAUAAAGAUAACUAGAAUUAGGAGCUUUUCAAGGGCAAGAGCAAAGUUAAUACUCACUUAAAUAAAUGCCUUGGUAACCAAAUCUUAUUAUAACUCCAACUCAGCAUUUAGGUGGAGUCCAUUGUGGAAUGGGGUCUUCAGUGGUCAUUGUGAAGGUGUUUGGAGUCCCAAAAUAUCUUCAGACAACCAUAUAUAUAUAUAUAUUUUUUACAUAAAUAGGAUUAUAUGUACAGUUAUGAAUUUUUUUCUUAUAUCUUUAUCUUUUAAAAAUAUAAAUUUGUGCUUUCUUUGCAACUGCAUAGUAUUCCAUAAACCAUCCUUUAGUCUAUUUUUAUUUUGUGAAUGUGCACACAGUAUCUUACCUGAAUGCAUGAAGAUGAUCAUUAUGUGCCUUUUUUUUUUUUUUUUUUUUAGACAGAGUCUCGCUCUGUCGCCCAGGCUGGAGUGCAGUGGCGUGACCUCAGCUCACUGCAACCUUAGCCUUCUGGGUUCAAGAGAUUCUCCUGUGCCUCAGCCUCCAGAGUAGCUGGGAUUACAGGCAUGUGCCACCACACCCAGCUAAUUUUUGUAGUUUUAGUAGGGACAGGGUUUCGCCAUGUUGGCCAGGCUGGCCUCGAACUCCUGACCUCAGGUGUUCCGCCUGCCUCGGCCUCCCAAAGAGUUAGGAUUACAGGCGUGAGGCACCGUGCCUGGCCAUGUGCAAUUUUUUUCUUUUUCCUCCUCCGUGCUGUGGAUUUGCCAUUUUUUGCUUCCACAAACUGCUGUUAUAAAUGUUGCAUCCUGAGAACUGUUGGUUUUAUUUACUAUUCCAAGGGAUAGAUUCCAGCAGAAUUGCUAAAUGAAAGAAUAUAUAUCUUGGUUAAUUUGACCAAACCUCAACUGCUACAUUAAAUUACUUGAAUUUUUUAAACCCGUAAACAAUUGUGUAAUGAAUAUACUUGCACAUAUGUUUUUGAACCCUAGUCUCAUUAUUUCCCU
rnacentral:lncRNA from 1 species